AACGUAGGGGGCCAGCGUUGCUCGGAAUUACUGGGCGUAAAGGGUCCGUAGGCGGUGUGACAAGUCGGUAGUGAAAUCUCCGGGCUUAACUCGGAGGCCGCUGCCGAAACUGUUGUGCUCGAGUGCGAGAGAGGCGAGUGGAAUUGCGGGUGUAGCGGUGAAAUGCGUAGAUAUCCGCAGGAACAUCCGAGGCGAAAGCGGCUCGCUGGAUCGCAACUGACGCUGAGGGACGAAAGCUAGGGGAGCAAACAGG
rnacentral:rRNA from 1 species